AUGUGAACUGAACCUCAGAACCCUGAAGGAUUAUAAAGGGAAUGAGAAAAGAAAACCAAUUAUAAAUGAAGCUAUUUUAUGAUUGCAUCAUUCAAAACAAAGGCCACUGUUGAUAAGAUAUAGAGAUCAGAAGCCACAAAAAAGAACCAGUUAUGAAAAGGCAGACCCUUAGCCUUAGCCUUUUUCUGUAAAUCUAAUCCAACAAUAUCUGUUGUAAUUAUCAACAGAAUAGUUAAAGAAUAAUAUUACAUUCUCCCUUAUUAUUGGAAAUUCUCCAAUUAUAGAUUGAUCACACUAAUAUCACAUUCUCAUCUCUUAUUGGUGCUUGAAGGGAGGCAUUGCAAGUUGCAGAUAUUUCUAGCAGUCAAUAGAGGAAAAUUAUAUCUGCCCCACCCAUAAAAAAGGGGGGCAGUCACAAUCUUCUCAACUUUGCAGUAGGUAAACCAAAGCCAUUCCAUUCGUAAAAUAGCCAAAAAUAUGGAAAUUUGGUAGUAGAACACAAAUUCAAUAUAUUGGCAUAAUAGUAUGCUACUAAUAUUAAUCAUUUAAUACAAAGCAAAGACAGAAAGAAAAUUUAUUUUAAACAUUGAAUUUAUUGUUGGAGACAAAUUUAUUCUAAACACUGAAUUUAUUGUUGCAGACCUUGACUUAAAGAACCACUCUGGACUCUGGAGUAUAAUACGGACACAAAUUUACGAUCAAUGCAUAAAAGAAAUUCGAAAUAUCAGAAAGAAAUGAAUUCCACAUGUGUACACUCACAUUUGCACAGCCAUACACACUUCUUUAAUGAUACUGUUUCAUUUACUGAUUGCAGAACUAUAUGCCAUAAUCUAAUGUACAAACUACAAAGCAAUCACCAUGACUGCCAAUCCUAAUUUCCAUGGUCCUAUCCAUGCAGUAGUAUAGAUAUGGUAUAAAAAAUGAGGAAUGCCUGACUUCACAACUAGGAAUAGUGAUCAUGUCAAUGCAUCACAGUCCGAUUGAUAAAUGAUUUGUGAGGUACGCACACAAGGUAGUAGAGUUCAAACAGAAUGAAACAGAAUUUUAUUACUCCAUAAACCCAAAGGACUGCCUUAACAAUGGAAAUAAGAGUCUAGUAUAAUCACUCUUGUGUUAGGGAGGUUUCUACAUAAUAAACAUCACAUAUGCAGAAAGAGAAGUGCUGUUGGAACAAACCCAUUGGUAAUUCAUGUAGCAAAGGAAAGACAUGUAACUUAAAAUCAUCAUUGUGGCUGUCAGAAUGAAAAAAGGUUGAAGCGUAACUAAUUAAUGGUAGAAUCAACUUAAGCAGAUCAAACUUCAGCAAUAAGUCCACCAAAAG
rnacentral:misc_RNA from 1 species